rnacentral:rRNA from 1 species
GACAGAGGGUGCAAACGUUGUUCGGAAUUACUGGGCGUAAAGGGCGCGUAGGCGGCCUUCUAAGUCGAACGUGAAAUCCCUGGGCUCAACCCAGGAACUGCGUCCGAUACUGGAAGGCUUGAAUCCGGGAGAGGGAUGCGGAAUUCCAGGUGUAGCGGUGAAAUGCGUAGAUAUCUGGAGGAACACCGGUGGCGAAGGCGGCAUCCUGGACCGGCAUUGACGCUGAGGCGCGAAAGCGUGGGGAGCGAACAGG